rnacentral:misc_RNA from 1 species
GAGAUACUGAUUUUGAGGUGUAAAACUCCAUGUGUGGUGUUAUGGAUUUUAAUUGGAAAGGUGUUUUUCUUGUGGAUUGGAUUAGGAGAGAUGUUUCUACUGAGCUCUACUCAAUUGUCUCAAGAUUCCCCUGGCUUCCAGCCUUUGUUUCUCGGUCGUUGAUGUGGAUUGAUGAAUUGUAUGUAACUUAGAGGAUUUGAGGUUCAUGUUUUUCUUUUUUCUUCUUUUUUGGAUUACUUGAGGUUUAUAUUCCUUUUUGUGUUGAAUAUCUGG